GCCGGGUGUGGUGGUGCGCACCUGUAGUCCCAGCUACUCAGGAGGCUGAGGCAGGAGAAUCGCUUGAACCCGGGAAGCGGAGGUUGCAGUGAGCUGAGAUUGCGCCACUGCACUCCAGCCUGGGUGACAGAGCAAGACUCUGUCUCAA
rnacentral:SRP_RNA from 1 species